GACGUAGGGCGCGAGCGUUGUCCGGAUUUAUUGGGCGUAAAGCGCGUGUAGGCGGUCCGGUAAGUCCGCUGUGAAAGUCGGGGGCUCAACCCUCGGAUGCCGGUGGAUACUGUCGGGCUUGAGUACGGAAGAGGCGAGUGGAAUUCCUGGUGUAGCGGUGAAAUGCGCAGAUAUCAGGAGGAACACCAAUUGCGAAGGCAGCUCGCUGGGACGUUACUGACGCUGAGACGCGAAAGCGUGGGGAGCAAACAGG
rnacentral:rRNA from 1 species